UACGGAGGGUGCAAGCGUUGCUCGGAAUUAUUGGGCGUAAAGGGUAGGUAGGUGGUCUCAUUUGUCUGGGGUGAAAGCCUUGAGCUUAACUCAAGAAGUGCCCCAGAAACGGUGGGACUCGAGUCCUGGAGAGGGUCGUGGAAUUCCCGGUGUAGCGGUGAAAUGCGUAGAGAUCGGGAGGAACACCAGAGGCGAAGGCGGCGACCUGGAAAGGAACUGACACUCAACUACGAAAGCGUGGGGAGCAAACAGG
rnacentral:rRNA from 1 species